CUUGUCUUCUCCUCCUCCUCCUCCGGAGUCUUCUACUCCUCCAUCUUCCCAGCCCAAUGCAGAUCCACCGGAUGGUGCAGCAGGUUCUACUUCAUCCCCACCACCUCAAUCACCUCCUGCUGUUCCAGCAGCGCCACCUCCAGCAUCACCACCACCACCACCACCAACUCCUUCCCUAGCCAAUUCUCCUUCGUCGCCUCCACCUCCUUCUCCUCCACCCCCUUCUCCCAAUGCUCCUCCACCGACUCCUCCGCCAUCUCCACCCAUUGCUCCAGUUCCGCCUCCCUCCAAUCCCUCACCUCCGCCAUUAACACCACCACCAACUUCACCUCCACCGCCACCACCACCGACCAAUCCGCCCAGGAGUCCGCCUCCCCCACCACCUACAGAACCACCAGUGACUUCACCUCCUCCACCAUCUUCAAACCCCCCUAAAAGUUCACCACCACCAUCAGAACCACCAAAAACCUCACCCCCACCACCAUCUAAACCACCCCCUGUUUCACCACCAUCACCAUCACCAUCAAGUCCACCUGAGGAUUCACCUCCACCACCUGUACCUGUGCCACCCAGUAAUUCAACCCCUCCCGCCCCGUCUCCAUCUGGUUCUCAACCAGCAACUCCACCCUCUCCAAAUUCUCCUCCAAAAGGAUCGCCACCACCACCCAGGACACCAACUCCACCUCCUCCUGCACGUUCCCCACCACCUCUUUCUCCCCCUUCAUCU
rnacentral:lncRNA from 1 species